CUACGGGCGGCUCCAGUGAGGAAUAUUGCACAAUGGGGGAAACCCUGAUGCAGCAACGCCGCGUGGAGGAUGACGCAUUUCGGUGUGUAAACUCCUUUUAUCAGAGAAGAAAAUGACGGUAUCUGAUGAAUAAGCUCCGGCUAACUCCGUGCCAGCAGCCGCGGUAAUACGGAGGGAGCAAGCGUUAUUCGGAAUCACUGGGCGUAAAGGACGCGUAGGCGGGUUUUUAAGUCAGGUGUGAAAUCCUAUGGCUCAACCAUAGAACUGCACUUGAAACUGGGGACCUAGAGUAUGGAAGGGGCAGGUGGAAUUAGUGGUGUAGGGGUAAAAUCCGUAGAUAUCACUAGGAAUACCGAAAGCGAAGGCGACCUGCUGGGACAUUACUGACGCUGAGGCGUGAAAGCGUGGGGAGCAAACAGGAUUAGAUACCCCUGUAGUC
rnacentral:rRNA from 1 species